GAGCAGGGCUGGCUUUUCUGGGCAGAGGUGAGGAGCUACUUGUGCAAAGGGGAAAAGCAAGUGGGAAAGCCACCGUGGGUUUAUCCCCUUGGAUAAGCACCCUCUGCCCCCCCAUACAUGGCAGCGUAAGCCCACACGAUGAGUUCUGGUGGGGAUUGCUGCCAUUUUCCUCAGCCCAGCAGAGCUCUGUGUUCUUUGCUGCUUCACUGAAGUAGGUCAAGGCAAAAGCUGCCUGCCCACAUCUCCUCUCCACGAUCACAAGUAUCACCUGGAUACAAAAACAGAACAGGAAGAGCA
rnacentral:lncRNA from 1 species